rnacentral:rRNA from 1 species
GACGAACGCUGGCGGCGUGCCUAACACAUGCAAGUCGAACGAAAAGGCCCUGCUUUUGUGCGGUGCUCGAGUGGCGACGGGGUGAGUAACACGUGAGUAACCUGCCCUUGACUUUGGGAUAACUUAAUGAAACUGGGGCUCAUACCGGCUAAGAGCUCCUGCUGCUGGGUGGGGGUUGGAAAGUUUCGGCGGUUGGGGAUGGACUCGCGGCUUAUCAGCUUGUUGGUGGGGUAGUGGCAUACCAAGGCUAGGAAGGGUAGCCGGCCUGAGAGGGUGACAGGCCACAUUGGGACUGAGAUACGGCCCAGACUCCUACGGGAGGCAGCAGUGGGGAAGAUUGCACAAUGGGAGGAAGCCUGAUGCAGCAACGCCGCGUGCGGGAUGACGGCCUUCGGGUUGUAAACCGCUUUCGCCUGUGACGAAGCGUGAGUGACGGUAAUGGGUAAAGAAGCACCGGCUAACUACGUG